UUCCUUGGCCUAGCCAUCUCUUCCUCACUGCUGCCUCCUCUCACAUUUCUCUCUCCGUCUCUUCCGAUUCGUUUGCCAGCAGCUCCGGUGCCUCGCGGCCGGCGGCCGGCGAUGCAGGUCCUCUCUUCCUCCUCCCCCUCCCCCUCCUCCCUCUAACGGAUUGAGACAUGGAUGUGGCCGACGGCCGGCGAUGCAGGUCCUCUUCCUCCUCCCCUCCCCCUCAUCCCUCUAGCGGAUUGAGACAUGGAUGGGGCCAAUGGCCGGUGAUGCAGGUCCUCUUCCUCCUCCCUCUAGCGGAUUGAGGCAUAGAUGCCGCGCGACGGCCGGUGAUACUGGUCCUCCGCCCCCUCCCCCUCCCCCUCCUCCCUCUAGCGGAUUGAGGCAUGGAUAUGUUAGGGUUCUGGGAUUUUGGGGCCGAGGGUUAGGCGUUAAGAGCCUAUCCAUGCUUGCCGGCGAGGUCGACGACGUCGUGGCCAACGAGGCUUCCACGCCCCCUAAGCCCUAUCCUCCAAUGUGCUAGAGCAGGCUCACAGAAACCUAAUGCGGCCAAUCCAUGUAUGGUGCUAGAGGAUGGGGCGUAAAGAUGUAUUUGGGUUUUUGCAUCUAUAAAUGGUAGAUGUUGGUGUUCAGGAUUCUGCAGUGCGUAGAACUUCUGCUGGUAAAUCUAAUUUUGGUAGUUUAAAUGAUGAUUAUGCAACUGUUAUUUGUAGAAUUUGUUAAAUUCUUAUUGAUCAUGAAUAUUUUUUCUGGUUAGCUAAAUCUAAUUUUGGUUGUUUAGAUCAGGAUGAUGUUAAGAUAGUAGACAUGGAUGGAAAGAUAGGACAAUGAACUAGAGAGCAAUCAAGAAUCUGCAAAAGAGAAGCAUGUUACUGUACAAAUUAAAUUAGAUUUCAGUAAUCCUUAAUGUCACAUGUUACUGUACACAUUAAUUUGCAAAAUUAUAUUGUUGAUUCUGACAACAUUGAAACUACAUUAUGUUUAGAGAAAAGAUGUGCUUAUUCUUUCAUAGCUAAGGCAGUAAGGAUAGGUGCUGCUGUUUGCUACUUCUGUCCAGUACAGUAAGUAUUAUACAUGCUUAUUUCUUCCUUUUGAUUCAACCUGAAGUAGUAGGAAAUGUAAACUAUAGAAGAAAAAUUGAAAUGCCGUGGCCUCAUUUGCUUAUCAGUUCCUUCCCUAGCACUGCAGGUCCUCGUUGCUGAUUCAGAAGCCUUGGCACAUCCUUUGCUUGAACCAUGGGCUGGGCUACUUCAUUCUGUUCAGUAGAAAAGGGGGCUUCAUCGACGUCAUUUGGGAAGAAUUUGCUUCCACGUGCUGCAGCUCUUCUUGAUGUAUCAGUAGAAAAGGGAGAGGCUGUGGCCUCGGCUUGUGCAAGGUUUUAAAGAUCUUUCCCACCGACUUCAGCUUAGGCUCUGGCUAGAGGACAAAGAUAUGUCAACUCGGUGGUGUGUCAUCAUCCAAUGUGCACUAUCUGUAGGCACAACUUCAUUAGGACCAGAUGUGACUACAGCUGCAGAAGCAGGAUUCUACUGUAGGCAACUCAGCAAUAGUUUUGGGAAGCAAAUAUUUAGGAAAGCUAAUGUUCUGAAGCAAAACAUUUGUGUAGUUCUAAUAUCCCUUGUGUGAAUGUUCUAAAUGAAUGCAGGGUUUAACUCAUGUGAUGUAUUCAAUUUAGUUUUGCAUGGCGGAAAAAGCAUUACUUUCUUCUGAUGGGUAAGGGAAGUUUGAAUGAUGAUUUAACAGUUUUGAGAUAUGGUAUAUCAGCUUCAUUAAAUUA